CCUAGGAACAGUGGGUUAACUGCCUGUUCAGGGACAGAACGACAGAUUUGUACCUUGUCAGCUCGGGGGUUUGAACUUGCAACCUUCCGGUUACUAGUCCAGCGUUCUAACCACGACCCUGCCGACUAUGAACAGGGCACCUGGUUUACGCCCGGGAGGGGUUCCAAAACGAAUGCCAGAUUAAUCGAGUCCCCUCUAUGAAGGGAAGCGAAGUAGGAGGUUGGUCAAUUUUCACGUGGAGCUAGGCAAAAUUAGAUUUGUUUACAUAAUCGAAUCCUACAGAUGAAGAACCAUAUAUUUGACAUAAAAAAAAUAGAUAUACAUGAAAAAUCAUUAUUGGACACCCUUUUUCUAUAGUGAACCGGUUUCACAAGCUUUCCACGCGCUAUUUAACAAUCAUUUUAAAUUUAAAGAUAGGCUCUCGUGGAAUAACCGUUUAUGUGCACCACUCAGAAUGGACGGACAAGCACACAACUUUUCUGUUGCUGAUGAAAAUCGCCGAAAUGUGGGAAAGAAACGUAAAACAAAACUAAUAGAAUGGAAAGACAGGCGAAGGAAGAUCUUACGGGAUGCUGGAAAACCCUAUACAAAUCGUAAGGGUUAAGAAAAAACUGGGGAAAAGCUGUCCAAAAUAGGAUCCUUGGAAUCUGUACGCCAGACAGAGCCACAGUCUAUUUGAGGGAUGGAAAUCGUGGCUGAUCUCCAAACCACAACAAGGAGCUACACCUCAACCUCCCUAUUUUGCAAGCCACUACCCUAGAACAUAUGAGAGUCCUCUGCCCAUCAAAAAAAAACAAGUACCAAGAUCUGAUGACCAUGCUCAACUACUUGCCAGCUGCUGCACACUCUUUUUAUAAAUCACUGCAGAGUGAAUAAUUUGUUGUUAAACCAAUCUACAUAAUUAACUGUUUUUUUCUGUGAGUUUAUGAUCCCUGAACCUGUAUAGUAUGUUGAAUCUGAAUACAUUUCAGAAGACAUGUUAGGAAAUUAAAUGUAUAGUAGGUGUUUUCUAUGUGAAUCAAUUUGUGUAUGAUUUGAACCAGCACAAUAUAAUGAAUUAAUUUAAUUUUAAGAUGUUCUUAGUGUAGAAAAUGUUAUGUAC
ensembl:lncRNA